UGGGGCGUGGUGCAACGGCAGCACAUCAGCCUUUGGAGCUGAGUAUCUUGGUUCGAAUCCAGGCGCCCCAG
rnacentral:tRNA from 2 species